rnacentral:rRNA from 1 species
UACGGGGGGUGCGAGCGUUGUCCGGAUUCACUGGGCGUAAAGGGCGCGUAGGCGGCCGGGUCAGUCGGGCCUGUAAGUGCGGGGCUCAACCCCGUGAUGGGCUCGGGACGGCCCGGCUGGGGCGCGGUCGAGGGAGACGGAAUGCCGGGUGUAGUGGUGAAAUGCGUAGAGAUCGGAAAGAACACCAACGGCGAAAGCACUCUGCUGGGCCGACACUGACACUGAGAGACGAAAGCUAGGGGAGCGAAUGGG